rnacentral:rRNA from 1 species
AUUGAACGCUGGCGGCAUGCCUUACACAUGCAAGUCGAACGGCAGCGCGGACUUCGGUCUGGCUGCGAGUGGCGAACGGGUGAGUAAUACAUCGGAACGUACCCUGUUGUGGGGUAUAACUAGUCGAAAGAUUAGCUAAUACUGCAUACGACCUGAGGGUGAAAGAGGGGGACCGCAAGGCCUCAUGGACCGGGAGGGGCCGAUGUCGGGUUAGUUAGUUGGUUGGGUGAAGAGCCACCUAGCCGACGAUCAGUAGCUGGCCUGUGUGGGCGAUCAGCCACCCUGGGACUGGGACACGGACAAUACUCCUACGGGACGGAGCAGAGUGGAAUUGUAGACAGCGGGGGGGACUAUGAUCCAGUGAGGCCGAGUGUGUGACAGCAGCGUUGCGUGUGGAAAGCAGGUUUGUCCGGAAAGAAACGGCGCUGGCUGAGACCAGGCGUGAAUGACGGUACCGGAUGAAGAAGCACCGGCUAACUACGUG